GAAACCUUCACAAAACCUAACAAAGAGGAGCUUAAAUUCCUAACUCUGCUAGACACUAAAAAUCAUGGUCUCAGCAGAUACACUAGUUUUAUGACUCAUAACUACAAUUUGUAACCUACUAACCCUCUUUUGUCCUAUAACUACAGAG